rnacentral:siRNA from 1 species
UCAUUACUCAGCGCAUAUUGUGAC